rnacentral:rRNA from 1 species
UACGUAGGGGGCGAGCGUUGUCCGGAAUCGUUGGGCGUAAAGCGCGUGUAGGCGGCCCGGUAAGUCCGCUGUGAAAGUCCAGGGCUCAACCCUGGGAUGCCGGUGGAUACUGUCGGGCUCGAGUCCGGAAGAGGCGAGUGGAAUUCCUGGUGUAGCGGUGAAAUGCGCAGAUAUCAGGAGGAACACCAAUGGCGAAGGCAGCUCGCUGGGACGUGACUGACGCUGAGACGCGAAAGCGUGGGGAGCAAACAGG